CUACCUUUAGGAAUGUACAGGUAACAUGUUAAUGCCUUUCUGAUGUCUUUGCAUGUUCAGGCAUGUAUAUGCACCCAGUCCUACUAAGUGAAAAUGUGGCUACAAGGAUUGUGGAACUUCCCAAGGAAUAAUUGUUCAGUCUUAAAGUUUUGUUGUGAUUUAAUGGGAAAUGACAAGCAUUAAAGUCACAAUUAGAACAUUAUAAGACAAC